rnacentral:rRNA from 1 species
CCUACGGGCGACAGCAGUGAGGAAUAUUGGUCAAUGGACGAGAGUCUGAACCAGCCAAGUAGCGUGAAGGAUGACUGCCCUAUGGGUUGUAAACUUCUUUUAUAGGGGAAUAAAAUGUUCCACGUGUGGGAUUUUGUAUGUACCAUAUGAAUAAGGAUCGGCUAACUCCGUGCCAGCAGCCGCGGUAAUACGGAGGAUCCGAGCGUUAUCCGGAUUUAGUGGGUUUAAAGGGAGCGUAGGUGGAUUGUUAAGUCAGUUGUGAAAGUUUGCGGCUCAACCGUAAAAUGGCAGUUGAAACUGGCAGUCUUGCGUCCAGUAGAUGUGGGCGGCUUUCGUGUUGUAGCGGUG